CUUUCUUUUCAGGACCAACAGCAUUAAGUGCAGCAAAGGGAGCCCCUGCUGAGAGUCUCCCACCUCUCAAAGAUCCUGACAGGAAAGAACUGCCUUUUGUCACAAUUUGACUGACUGAAACAAGACCAUCAAAACCCCGCUCACCUGUGGCACCAUUUUGAGGACUGACGAAGCUGCAUGGAACGGGUGGAGAAGAAAGUUUCCUGCAUGGAACACACCCUGCAAACUGUCAAUCACUCUGCCUGACCUGAUAUCCUUGGACCAGAUUCAAUGCAGGUACUUGAUGAUGAGCCUUCCAUGUGGUGAAAGAGACCCUGCUCCUUAUAUCAGGUGGUGUUGUCAUCUCUUUGAGUCUUAGAAGACUUGGCUCACUGUUGGCAGAGAAAAGGAAACAACAGAUCAGAGAGGAGUGAAGGGGAGGAGUCCAUUAAAGACCA